rnacentral:rRNA from 1 species
UACAGAGGAGCCAAGCGUUGUCCGGAUUGACUGGGCGUAAAGCGCACGCAGGCGGGGGUGCGCGUGGGGGGUGAAAUCUGGCCGCUUAACGGCCAGGCGCCAUCCCAUACGGCACGACUGGAGGGCUGCAGAGGUCGAUGGAAUUGCCGGUGUAGUGGUGAAAUGCGUAGAGAUCGGCAGGAACACCCAGGGGGAAACCAGUCGACUGGGCAGCACCUGACGCUGAGGUGCGAGAGCGUGGGGAGCGAACCGG